GACAGAGGGUGCAAACGUUGUUCGGAAUUACUGGGCGUAAAGCGCGUGUAGGCGGCCAUCUAAGUCGGGCGUGAAAUCCCACGGCUCAACCGUGGAAGUGCACUCGAAACUGGAUGGCUAGAGUCCUGGAGAGGAAGGUGGAAUGCUUGGUGUAGAGGUGAAAUUCGUAGAUAUCAAGCGGAACACCGGUGGCGAAGGCGGCCUUCUGGACAGUGACUGACGCUGAGAGCGAAAGCGUCGGGGAAGGCAAACAGG
rnacentral:rRNA from 1 species